AUUAGUCUUCAGGGCAAGGUGUGAGUCCUUACCGGUGGUUACAGCCCACGCGCCGAAAUUUUUUGGCUGACUUGGUGAAAGUCCGAGGCCGACAGUUAGAGUCUGGAUGGAAGAAGAUCAAU
rnacentral:ncRNA from 2 species